rfam:Bacteroidetes bacterium oral taxon 272 str. F0290 ctg120009420975, whole genome shotgun sequence.
UCAGGCGGUUAUAGCGGGGGUGUUCCACCUCUUUUCCAUUCCGCACAGAGCAGUUAAGUCCCUCCGCGCCGAUGGUACUUCUGAUGAGGUAGAGUAGGUCGCCGCCAUUU